rnacentral:rRNA from 1 species
GACACCACGGCCCAAACUCCUACGGGAGGCAGCAAUACGCAAUCUUCGGCAAUGGACUAAAGUCUGACCGACCAACGCCGCGUGAGUGAAGAAGGUUUUCGGAUCUUAGAACUCUGUUGAUAGAGAAGAACAAGGAUGAUAGUAAAAUGUUCGUCCCUUGACGGUAUCUAAACCACAAAGUACACUGCUAACUACCUGCCCGCAGCCGCGGUAAUACGUAGGUGGCGACCGUUGUCCGGAUUUAUUGGGCGAAAAGCGAGCGCACCGCUGUUUCUUAAGUCUGAUGUCAAAGCCCCCGGCUCAACCGGAGAGGGUCAUUGGAAACUGUGAGACUUGAGUAGCGAAGAGGAUAGCGGAGUUCCAUGUGUAACCGUGUAAAUGCGUAGAUAUAUGGAGGAACACCAGUGGCGAAGGCGGCUCUCUGGUCUGUAACUGACGCUGAGGCUUGAAAGCGUGGGGAGCGAACAGGAUUAGAUACCCUGGUAGUCCACGCCGUAAACGAUGAGUGCUAAGUGUUGGAGGGUUUCCGCCCUUCAGUGCUGCAGCAAACGCAUUAAGCACUCCGCCUGGGGAGUACGACCGCAAGGUUGAAACUCAAAGGAAUUGACGGGGGCCCGCACAAGCGGUGGAGCAUGUGGUUUAAUUCGAAGCAACGCGAAGAACCUUACCAGGUCUUGACAUCCUUUGACCACUCUAGAGAUAGAGCUUCCCCUUCGGGGGCAAAGUGACAGGUGGUGCAUGGUUGUCGUCAGCUCGUGUCGUGAGAUGUUGGGUUAAGUCCCGCAACGAGCGCAACCCUUAUUGUUAGUUGCCAUCAUUUAGUUGGGCACUCUAGCGAGACUGCCGGUGACAAACCGGAGGAAGGUGGGGAUGACGUCAAAUCAUCAUGCCCCUUAUGACUUGGGCUACACACGUGCUACAAUGGGAAGUACAACGAGUUGCGAAGUCGCGAGGGUAAGCUAAUCUCUUAAAGCUUCUCUCAGUUCGGAUUGUAGGCUGCAACUCGCCUACAUGAAGCCGGAAUCGCUAGUAAUCGCGGAUCAGCACGCCGCGGUGAAUACGUUCCCGGGCCUUGUACACACCGCCCGUCACACCACGAGAGUUUGUAACACCCGAAGUCGGUGAGGUAACCUUUUGGAGCCAGCCGCCUAAGGUGGGAUAGAUGAUUGGGGUGAAGU